CAGCAGACACAUUCCAGCCAAUCAGCAGCAGACCCUCCUUCUCAGACCCUUCCACCUCCUGGACAGCAUCCAUUUUGAAGCUGCAUUCUUAGUGAGCUGUCCAGGAGGUGGGAGGGUCUGGGAGGGAGGGUCUGCUGCUGAUUGGCGGGAAUGUGUCUGCUG